rfam:Trabulsiella guamensis ATCC 49490 GTGT.assembly.100, whole genome shotgun sequence.
AUAAACAUUCUUUAUUGUGCUCUUUAUCACUUCAAACUGGCGCCAACUCUCAGUAUGAUGGCGAGAGGACAACCCUUGCCGCUGACGGUGAGGGUUUUCUUUUGGA